AGAGUUUGAUCCUGGCUCAGGACGAACGCUGGCGGCGCGCCUAACACAUGCAAGUCGAACGGAGUUAUUUUCUUCACUCCGAGCUUUUUGCCAGUUAGCCGGAGCGGCAAUCGGUUUUGCCCAGCAUAAAAAGCAAAACCGAUUUAGGCUCAUAAAGUAAGACUAACACAGAGCGCAGAGAGUUGGGAGUGAAGAAAAUAACUUAGUGGCGAACGGGUGAGUAACGCGUGAGUAACCUGCCCUGGAGUGGGGGACAACAGUUGGAAACGACUGCUAAUACCGCAUAAGCCCACGGCCCGGCAUCGGGCUGCGGGAAAAGGAUUUAUUCGCUUCAGGAUGGACUCGCGUCCAAUUAGCUAGUUGGUGAGGUAACGGCCCACCAAGGCGACGAUUGGUAGCCGGACUGAGAGGUUGAACGGCCACAUUGGGACUGAGACACGGCCCAGACUCCUACGGGAGGCAGCAGUGGGGGAUAUUGCACAAUGGGGGAAACCCUGAUGCAGCGACGCCGCGUGGAGGAAGAAGGUUUUCGGAUUGUAAACUCCUGUCGUUAGGGACGAUAAUGACGGUACCUAACAAGAAAGCACCGGCUAACUACGUGCCAGCAGCCGCGGUAAAACGUAGGGUGCAAGCGUUGUCCGGAAUUACUGGGUGUAAAGGGAGCGCAGGCGGACCGGCAAGUUGGAAGUGAAAACUAUGGGCUCAACCCAUAAAUUGCUUUCAAAACUGCUGGCCUUGAGUAGUGCAGAGGUAAGUGGAAUUCCCGGUGUAGCGGUGGAAUGCGUAGAUAUCGGGAGGAACACCAGUGGCGAAGGCGACCUACUGGGCACCAACUGACGCUGAGGCUCGAAAGCAUGGGUAGCAAACAGGAUUAGAUACCCUGGUAGUCCAUGCCGUAAACGAUGAUUACUAGGUGUUUGGAGGAUUGACCCCUUCAAGUGGCGCAGUUAACACAAUAAAGUAUCCACCU
rnacentral:rRNA from 1 species